rnacentral:rRNA from 1 species
CAGGGAAUCUUGCGCAAUGGGCGAAAGCCUGACGCAGCAACGCCGCGUGCGGGAUGAAUGCCUUCGGGUUGUAAACCGCUUUCAGCAGGGACGAAAUUGACGGUACCUGCAGAAGAAGCCCCGGCCAACUACGUGCCAGCAGCCGCGGUAAUACGUAGGGGGCGAGCGUUGUCCGGAUUUAUUGGGCGUAAAGAGCUCGUAGGUGGUUCGCUAAGUCGGGUGUGAAAUCUCCAAGCUCAACUUGGAGCGGUCAUUCGAUACUGGCGUGACUUGAGUACGGUAGGGGACCACGGAAUUCCUGGUGUAGCGGUGAAAUGCACAGAUAUCAGGAGGAACACCGGUGGCGAAGGCGGUGGUCUGGGCCGUAACUGACGCUGAGGAGCGAAAGCGUGGGUAGCAAACAGG